UACGUAGGGUGCAAGCGUUGUCCGGAAUUAUUGGGCGUAAAGAGCUCGUAGGCGGUUUGUCGCGUCGACUGUGAAAACCCGAGGCUUAACCUCGGGCCUGCAGUCGAUACGGGCAGACUAGAGUUCGGUAGGGGAGACUGGAAUUCCUGGUGUAGCGGUGAAAUGCGUAGAUAUCGGGAAGAACACCAGUGGCGAAGGCGCUCUACUGGGCCACAACUGACGCUGAGGGACGAAAGCUAGGGGAGCGAAAGGG
rnacentral:rRNA from 1 species